rnacentral:rRNA from 1 species
CGAGCGGGGUCCAACCACUCGCAAGAGUGGGGAAGACCUAGCGGCGAACGGGUGAGUAACACGUGAGGAACCUGCCCCAGAGACCGGGAUAACCCUCCGAAAGGAGAGCUAAUACCGGAUACCCUCAUCGGACCGCAUGAUCUGAUGAGGAAAUGGAUUCCGCUCUGGGAGGGCCUCGCGGCCUAUCAGCUUGUUGGUGAGGUAAUGGCUCACCAAGGCAUCGACGGGUAGCUGGUCUGAGAGGACGAUCAGCCACACUGGGACUGAGACACGGCCCAGACUCCUACGGGAGGCAGCAGUGGGGAAUCUUGCGCAAUGGGCGAAAGCCUGACGCAGCAACGCCGCGUGGGGGAUGAAGGCUUUCGGGUUGUAAACCCCUUUCAGCAGGGACGAUUAUGACGGUACCUGCAGAAGAAGGACCGGCCAACUACGUGCCAGCAGCCGCGGUAAUACGUAGGGUCCAAGCGUUGUCCGGAUUUAUUGGGCGUAAAGAGCUCGUAGGUGGCUCAGUUAGUCGGAUGUGAAAACUCGGGGCUCAACCCCGAGACGCCAUCCGAUACUGCUGUGGCUUGAGUCUGGUAGGGGAGCACGGAAUUCCUGGUGUAGCGGUGAAAUGCGCAGAUAUCAGGAGGAACACCGGUGGCGAAGGCGGUGCUCUGGGCCAGUACUGACA